GAAAAACCCUAGCCUUCUUCUCUUUCUUUUCUUUUUUUCUUUCCUCUCCAUUUUUCUUUCUUUUCUUUUUCUUUCUUCUUUUUUUUUUGUCUUCUUUUUCUUGGUAAUUUUUGCGCAAAAUCUAAUAGCACAAGGAGAACACAUUUGGAGGGAAAAUAUUUGGGGAAAAUCAAGAUCAAGCUAUCAAAAACCAAAAUCCAAAAGAGUUUUAUCUUCACUCUUGUAUUUGUCUUCAUAAUUGUUUCCUAUUCGCAAUGUAUUGUAUGGAAUAUUCUCCUUUUUAUUACUUGUAAAAUGGGCUAAGUUAUUUGUGUUGGAAUUUAUGGUUGUAGUUUAAUCUAGCCUUGAUUAAUUUUAAUAUGUGCCCUUUGAUACGUGGUGCAUUGUAAUUGGAAUUGCUUGUUCUCAUGCACUAGUUCAUACACGCCGAAACUUCUGAGGUUUAGAAAAUAUUUGAGGUGUCAAAAACAAGCCAUUAACAAAAAUGAUGAUGGUUACAUGCUCGCGAAAGAUUUGGUGCCUUACAAUUGGGAUAAGGACAUCAACAAGCUUAUGUGAGAUGGUCCUCCCUAAUUAAACAAGAUGGUAUUUGCAAAAUAUUUCAAAAAAUUUGCUUUGUUGGAUGAAAAUGAUAUACUUAUGGAAGAUUACAUGUAUUGGGAAGGAUUUCAACAAUGGGGGUACAAUCUACUUGACGUAGUUAAUGGGACCGACCUCUCAUUGCCCGUAGAAUUGGAUUGCUAACCGGUCAUUCAAUCCGAAAAAUAUAUCCACUAUCAACAAAUAGCUCAAAGAAAAUGACAAUUUAACCACAAAGGGGUCGAAUGAAAAUGUAGCAAGCAAUGAGGAUGAAAGUAAUGUGCAUUUUUCCGACUUCACUGAUUGCAUGAAAAUUGAUUUAUGAUUAAGUUUGAUAAUGUGGUGGAAGUCUAUAUAGUUGGAUUUGAAUCGGAUGGAAUAGGCAAGUCCUAUUAUAUGGAAAUAGGCAG
rnacentral:lncRNA from 1 species